rnacentral:rRNA from 1 species
GAUGAACGCUAGCGGCAGGCUUAACACAUGCAAGUCGAGGGGUAGAAGUUGCUUGCAACUUUGAGACCGGCGCACGGGUGCGUAACGCGUAUGCAACCUACCUUUUACAGAGGGAUAGCCCAGAGAAAUUUGGAUUAAUACCUCAUAGUAUAUAACCUUCGCAUGUUGGUUAUAUUAAAGUUCCAACGGUAAAAGAUGGGCAUGCGUCCUAUUAGCUAGUUGGUGUGGUAACGGCACACCAAGGCGACGAUAGGUAGGGGUCCUGAGAGGGAGAUCCCCCACACGGGUACUGAGACACGGACCAGACGCCUACGGGAGGCAGCAGUGAGGAAUAUUGGACAAUGGGCGCAAGCCUGAUCCAGCCAUGCCGCGUGCAGGAAGAAGCAUCUAUGGUGUGUAAACUGCUUUUGUACAGGAAGAAACACCCCUUCGUGAAGGGACUUGACGGUACUGUAAGAAUAAGGAUCGGCUAACUCCGUGCCAGCCGCCGCAGUAACAC